rnacentral:lncRNA from 1 species
UGGGACACUGACUGACUUAGCAAGUACAUACCGUGUCUCUGAAAGGUACAGCUUACACAAAGUGGUGGUUCACUGAUUUCCUCCGAAAGGCGUGUCCUCUGACUGCGUCCAUCUUAAAGUCUCUGGCGUGCUUAGUCCUGCACUCGACACCACCCACGACUUGGGGUCUCAAAGAAGCUUGAAUUUCAUCCUCAGAAACCAUUCAAGCAAAGAAAAUUCUAUAAGGCAUGGAAGGCUUUGAUGUGAAUAUUUAUCUACUUUUGUAAAUCAUUGGCAGUGACUUCUCUCAAUAACUCAUGUGGACCAAAGGAACAGUAAAGGGAACAUUUGCUCUCUCGUAAGUAUAUAAUCAGCAGUUUUACAACAGUUGGUGGCCAAUUUAUAUUACAAGAAGUAUAGAAAAUGACCCUUCAAUUGAUAAUAUCUACAUCCAAAGAAGAGCUUAAAGAUAUUACAUAAAUUCAAGUCCUUAGACAACUUUUCCUUGCUUUAAAUAUGCUUUUGAAAAUGGAACUUUUUUAGAUUUAAGGAACAGUUGGUAAGAGUACACAGAGCUUCUAUCUGCCUCACACCAUUUCCCCUAUUAUUAACAUCUUACAUUGUUCUUGUACAUUUGUUACAAUUAAUGAACGGACACUGAUA